AGUUUGAUCCUGGCUCAGAUUGAACGCUGGCGGCAUGCCUUACACAUGCAAGUCGAACGGCAGCAUGGAGAGCUUGCUCUCUGAUGGCGAGUGGCGAACGGGUGAGUAAUACAUCGGAACGUGUCCGUUUGUGGGGGACAACCGUCCGAAAGGAUGGCUAAUACCGCAUAAGACCUGAGGGUGAAAGCCGGGGACCGCAAGGCCCGGCGCAGACGGAGCGGCCGAUGAUUGAUUAGCUAGUUGGGGAGGUAAAGGCUCACCAAGGCGACGAUCAAUAGCUGGUCUGAGAGGACGACCAGCCACACUGGAACUGAGACACGGUCCAGACUCCUACGGGAGGCAGCAGUGGGGAAUUUUGGACAAUGGGGGCAACCCUGAUCCAGCCAUGCCGCGUGCGGGAAGAAGGCCUUCGGGUUGUAAACCGCUUUUGUCAGGGACGAAAAGCUCCGGAGUAAUAUGCCGGAGUGCUGACGGUACCUGAAGAAUAAGCACCGGCUAACUACGUGCCAGCAGCCGCGGUAAUACGUAGGGUGCGAGCGUUAAUCGGAAUUACUGGGCGUAAAGCGUGCGCAGGCGGUUGGGUAAGACAGAUGUGAAAUCCCCGGGCUUAACCUGGGAACUGCAUUUGUGACUGUCCGACUGGAGUACGUCAGAGGGGGGUGGAAUUCCACGUGUAGCAGUGAAAUGCGUAGAUAUGUGGAAGAACACCGAUGGCGAAGGCAGCCCCCUGGGACGCAACUGACGCUCAUGCACGAAAGCGUGGGGAGCAAACAGGAUUAGAUACCCUGGUAGUCCACGCCCUAAACGAUGUCUGCUGGUUGUUGGGAAUUUAAUUCUCAGUAACGAAGCCAACGCGUGAAGCAGACCGCCUGGGGAGUACGGUCGCAAGAUUAAAACUCAAAUGAAUUGACGGAAGGGCGU
rnacentral:rRNA from 1 species